CAACGACUUGUAGUCGACACAAAGUCCUAGGGAUCCAUCCUUCAUCCUCAUAACAAUACUGGAACACCCCAAGGCGAAGUGCUCAGUCAGAUGGGAACCCUUAACUACCAACUUAUACCAUUGCUCUUACAUCUCUUUAAACUUUGUUGAUACCAUCCUGUGGGGAGGAAUAGAGAUUGGUCCAAUUCCAUGCAUUACUUCUAUUUUAAACUCUAUCUCCCUGACAGGUGGUAGUCCUGGGAAUUCGUCUGGGGAAACAUCUAAAACUCUCU
rnacentral:lncRNA from 1 species